GAUGAACGCUGGCGGCGUGCCUAAUACAUGCAAGUCGAGCGAAAGGACGUGAUGCUUGUUUCUCUUUUGUUAUCGGCGGACGGGUGAGUAACACGUGGAAAACCUACCUAUAAGACCGGGCUAACUUCUGGAAACCGGAGCUAAUACCGGAUGACAUUUUGAACCGCAUGGUUCAAAAGUGAAUGGCGGUCUUGCUGCUACUGAUAGAUGGUUCGGUGCUGGAUUAUCUACUUGGUAAGGUAAUGGUUUACCAAGGCAACGGUGCAUAGCCGCCGUGGGAGGGUGAUCGGCCACAGUGGAACUGGGACACGGUCCAGACUCCGACGGGAGGCGGAAGUAGGAAAUGUGCAGCAUUGACCGAGGGCCUGACGGAGCAGCGCCGCGUGAGUGAGGAGGAUCUUCGGAUCGUAAUACUCUGUUAUUAGGGAAGAAGAGGUAUGUACGUAGCUGUACACAUCGUGACGGUACCUGAAGAGAAAGCCACGGCUAACUACGUG
rnacentral:rRNA from 1 species